GGAGCCAUUUCCCCACUAACAAUCAUUACAGGAACCAUCACUCUAGGGAGUCUGCAGAGAACCUCACACCCAUAGUUAUGUUCUAUUGACAAAACCUGCCCCUCACCCAAUUAACUGCUAAUCUUAGCGGAACCCGCCUCACAUUCCAGCUAUCCAGGGAACCAGGUGUGGCCACUUGUGACUUCUGGCCUGUCUGUCUGAAUGUAACCAAGCUACGUGACCGGAACCACGCGGCCUGCGAGAUCCCGUACCCUGCCCCUCAUCCCUUACCAUAUAUAAACUGUAACCCGUCCCUAAUAAACAGAGGCCUUGACAAAGUUGCUUGGUCUCGUUCCUCUG